UGCAAGCUGAGGGAGCCGGCUCCGGCCUCGGCCAGCCCAGGAAGUGGCUCCCACAGUGCAGCGGCAGGCUGAAGGGCUCCUCAAGUGCCGCCAAAGUGGGAGCCCAGGCAGAGGAGGCGCCGAGAGCGAGCGAGGGCUGUGAGGACUGCCAGCACGCUGACACCUCUCACCGCCAUUUGCCAGGUCCAGAGUUCUUGUCCUACAUCCAGGAAGAAUGAAGUACGUGGACAACUGGAAAGACUGAUUCCUUAUCCAACAUCACUUUCUGGACUACCUAGAAUCCAACUAUCAUGUUAUGUAGCUCUGAUGAAAUUGCCAAUAAAAGGACCAAGCUUCACUGAUCACAAGAAGUAAUAUGGAAUCCAUACUAUCAUAUUCCCAUUUUCUGAAAACUUAACCAUGAGUUGGGGCUUCAAGGACAGGAGGCUUCUGACAUUGGGUUAUCUGAUGGCACAACACCAAAGAGACAUUCUACACUGGUUUGAACUGAGAGCAAUGGACCUGAGACCAUUCUUGAAACCAGCAAUCAUUAACACAGAGGAAGACUUCUGUGACCAAAUGUGUGAGGCAUUUUCCCCACACAACAAGCAGCGGACGCCAGCUGGGUUUCCUCCAAUUUAAUUCCAACACUAUCUACCUGGACAUAGUGUUAGAUCCCAUGGAUUGAUACGUCAGUCCCCAAGACUGCACUCUACCCUGCCACUGGACAACGGUAGCAAGUCCAGGCCUCUGAAAAUUCUAACUUCAACAUGAGUUCUCAUGACCCCGUCUUUAUUUCACAGAAACACUUAUAUUUACUAGUUUAUUAUAAAG
rnacentral:lncRNA from 10 species